GAUGAAGAACGUAGCGAAAUGCGAUAAGUAAUGUGAAUUGCAGAAUUCAGUGAAUCAUCGAAUCUUUGAACGCACAUUGCGCCCGCCAGUAUUCUGGCGGGCAUGCCUGUUCGAGCGUCAUUUCAACCCUCAAGCCCAGCUUGGUGUUGGGAUCUGUCCUUACCGACAGUCCCCAAAUUGAUUGGCGGUCACGUCGAGCUUCCAUAGCGUAGUAAUUUACACAUCGUUACUGGUAAUCGUCGCGGCCACGCCGUUAAACCCCAACUUCUGAAUGUUGACCUCGGAUCAGGUAGGAAUACCCGCUGAACUUAAGCAUAUCAAUAAGCGGAGGA
rnacentral:misc_RNA from 1 species